GGGUCUUGCUCUGUCACCGAGGCUGGAGUUCAGUGGCACCAUCAGAGCUCACUGCAGCCUCAACCUACCAGGCUCAAGCAAUCCUCCUGCCUCAGCCUCCUGAAUAGCUGGGACUACAGCAACUUCCAGUUCUGCAAGCUCCAUUAAUGGGAACAUGAAGAAAGGUCUUAGAAGGAGAUGAAAAUGAGUAUUUUACCAAAAUGAAAUUGAAAGAAGAAAAAACUAAAGGAAAAGAAAAAAUAAAAGAAUGGGAGAAAGUAAAAAAUACAUACAUAGAAAAUAAUGUAAAGUAUCAGACAAGAUUUUGUGGGUGAAAAACUAGACAAGCAAUUCAGGUAGUGUAAUCCAAAUCUAGAAAAAUAUACAUUGAGAAUCUGAAGUGUAUAGAUUAAAGAAUAUUUCAA